rnacentral:lncRNA from 1 species
GGUCUAGACUUUCUGCUUAAUGCUAGAACUAUGGACUAGGCCUCAGUGUCCUAGCAGAAAUAUUCACUGACAGGGCCUCCGUUUUCUCUUCAGUGAGAGAGAACUUUGAGGGUUAGGAGUGUAGAGUGAUCCUUGGCUACAUAGUGCUGGAGGCCAGCUUAGCCUAAGUGAGAACCUGCCUCAAAAUUCAAAGGAGAAAAAUCAAAAAAAAAAAAAAAAGAGAGAAUCUCUUUGACAUACAUCUUGUCAAAUCAAUAUUUUGAAGGUGUUUACUUAAUGAGAUAAAAUAUUCCCACUUGAAAAUGCUUCCAGAACAAGAAAAGCCAUUGAAUAUAUUCUCUUUUUUUAAAGGAUUUAUUUAUUAUUAUACUUAAGUACACUGUAGCUGUUUUCAGACACAUCAGAAGAGGGCAUCAGAUCUCAUUACGAGUGGUUGUGAGCCACUAUAUGGUUGCUGGGAUUUGAACUCAGGACCUUCGGAAGAACAGUCAAUGCUCUUACACGCUGAGCCAUCUUGCCAGCCCUGAAUAUAUUUCUCUUGGCAUUUAAUGAAUAAUCAGAAAUAAAGUCCUUGGAGUUCAUUUUUAUAUUUAAAACACAGAGAUGUUUUUCAAUAUUUUUUAAAGAUUUAUUUAUUGUUUUAUGUGAGCACACUGUAGCUGUCUUCAGACACACCAGAAGAGGGCAUCAGAUCUCAUUACGGGUGGUUGUGAACCACCAUGUGGUUGCUGGGAUUUGAACUCAGAACCUUCGGCAGAGCAGUCAGUGCUCUUAACUGCUGAGUCAUCUCUCCAGCACCGUUUUUCAAUUUUUAUUGUAAUAUUAUUACGUAGUUAUUUUACAUGUGCUGGCAUUUUGCCUGCAUAUGUGUCUAUACCCAUGGAGGCAAGAAGAGCACAUGAAUUCCUCUGGUACUGGAGAAAGAGAUGGUUGUGGGCUGCCAUGUCCUGGGAACCAAAUCCCUGUCCUUUGAAGAAGCAGCUAGCAGUGCCCUUAACUGCUGAGCCACCUCUCUAUCCUGAACUCUAUUCUUUUUAUUUCUUCAUUAGAAGGGUGGAAAUUAUCCUAAAGGGCUAAAUACAUAUACACGCACACAUGCACAGAGAUACAGAGGCAGGCAGACUGACUGGCUAGGAAAAUGGUUCAGUGGGUAAAACAUUUGCCAUACAAUUGUCAGGGCCUAAGUUUGAAUCUCCCAAAGCCAUGUAAAAGCCAGAUAUAAUAAUGUAUGUUGGCAACCUUAGUGUUCUUACAGUGAGCUGAAAGACAGAGACAGGACAGUUCAUAAAGGCGUGCAGCCAGCUAGCCUGGAAUAUAGAAUGGUUAACAGCCAAGAGAUCUGUAUCAAAAAGGUGAAAGGCAAAAGAUUAAUACCUAAGGUAUCCUCUGACUUCCAUGCACACAAUUACACAUGGGUACCUGCACUUACACAAAUGCGGGCAUGCACACACAUACACCAAGAGCUGAAUAAUCACAAUAGGUGUGUCUGUGUGUGCCUGUGUAUGUCUAUGAGUGUAUCUGUGUACGGCUGGCUGGCUGUUUAAAAUAGUAUCUCAUUCUGUAGCCCAAGCUGUCCUGAAACAUAUAGCAAUCCUGCCUCUGUCUUCCAAGGGCAGGGAUUACUGGUAUGCACUACUGUACAUAGAUUCGUAUUUUAAUUACUUAAUUGAUUAGUUACUUAGGCUUACUUAGUUUGACUCUUUUUCUUUUUGAGACAAGGUCUCAUAAUGUAGCCCCAGUUGUCUUGGAACUCACUAUGUAGACAGGGCUGGCCUCGGUGUGGUUAAUCACCCUGCUUCUCUGGGUGCUAUUUUACAUGCAUUUGCCACUGCUCUUAGCCUUAUUUUUAGAAUGAACAUUAGCAUCUAAAGUAGAGAGAGCUAUGUAAUUGUAACCUUGUUGCAGGUGGAGGAAUUAUAGCGAGGCUGGCACGAUACAUGGUGGUCUCUGUUUAUGUGGAGAUGCUCAGUGAGAGCAGAUGCCUUUUGAUCUUGCUCAGCAUUAGAUACACUGAAUACUUAUAUGAAAGCAUGUGGUCUCAUUGGUGGGUAGGGACCUUACUUCAUCUCACCACGUGCCAGUAAAUACAGUGAUAAUAAUGUUGUGUGGGGAUGUAGGGAUCAAGUCCAUGGAGGUUUUUUUUGGGUUUUUUUUUUUCCUGAACUGAAAUGUCAAACAAAUUGAGAUUGGUUUUCUGCUUCCCCAGGAAGUUUUAAAAUGUUCUUUUCUGUAAGCUACUACUAACUUAAAGAUUUCAACAAAAGGAAAUUAUUAUAAGUAAAACAGUGCAACGUGGCUCACUGUUAACUGGAAAUGGGUUGAAGGGUACAACAUGAAAUGUUUGGAUUUUAAAAUGUAUGGAGAACUCCAUGGAGGAGUGCACACACAGGAGGAUCUUGAGUUUGAGGUCAGCCUCAAGAAAUUUAUACAUGUAAUGUAUAAAAACAUAAAACAGGCCAAUCCUGAAGACACGUGCUUAUAAUCCCAGUGUUCAGAAGGCAGGCAGGCAUAGAAGGUUGCUACAACUUCCUGGCUAGCCGGAGCUCCAGAGUUACAUGUCGGCCCGAGAAAGAAAGCAGUGCCCUAUCUACAUUUUAUAUAUUAAAUUUUACAUUCCUUUUUUAAUGAGAAGAGCUGAGGCACAUGGGUAGAGGUCAGGGGACAACUUGUAGGAAUAGCUUCUCUCCUCCCACCACAUGAGUGCCAAGGAUGCGACUCAGUUUAUCAGGCUUGGCAGCAAGCACCUGUUUUAGUCAGCCAUCUCGCUGACAGUUAUCCUCUUACGUAGGGAAGUCAAGCCUGGGCUACGUGAGAUCCUGCCCCCAGCCCCAAACAACAAAAACCACACAGCAACAAACAAAUGU